AUUGAACGCUGGCGGCAGGCCUAACACAUGCAAGUCGAGCGGUUGAAGGGAGCUUGCUCCCUGAUUCAGCGGCGGACGGGUGAGUAAUGCCUAGGAAUCUGCCUAUUAGUGGGGGACAACGUUUCGAAAGGAACGCUAAUACCGCAUACGUCCUACGGGAGAAAGCAGGGGACCUUCGGGCCUUGCGCUAAUAGAUGAGCCUAGGUCGGAUUAGCUAGUUGGUGAGGUAAUGGCUCACCAAGGCGACGAUCCGUAACUGGUCUGAGAGGAUGAUCAGUCACACUGGAACUGAGACACGGUCCAGACUCCUACGGGAGGCAGCAGUGGGGAAUAUUGGACAAUGGGCGAAAGCCUGAUCCAGCCAUGCCGCGUGUGUGAAGAAGGUCUUCGGAUUGUAAAGCACUUUAAGUUGGGAGGAAGGGUUGUAGAUUGAUACUCUGCAAUUUUGACGUUACCGACAGAAUAAGCACCGGCUAACUCUGUGCCAGCAGCCGCCGUAACAC
rnacentral:rRNA from 1 species